UCCAAACCCUACUUCCCCAAAUCACAGACCCACCGCCGCCGCCACCCCCGCCCCCCACUCCACCGCCGUCCCUUCCUAACACUACUUCUGGCCGGCCCGUUCUCCCCUUCCCUGUGCGCCGCCGCCCUACCUCUCUUCCUCCGCUCAGCUGCCAUUUCCAUGGAAGCGGCCCGACCUGGUCAUUGCCGGAUCUGGCGGUCUGGCCGCACUGGUGGUCGAUGCUGCCGGAUCUGGCCGCUCCGGGCCUCAUCAACGCCGCCCCGGUUGUUCACCUCCCCAUCACCGCUUUUCCCAUCGUCAUCCCGUCCGCCUCGUCCAAAUCAGCUGAGAGGGUAGUCGCCUGUCUCCUGAGGAGUUCGUCCCCGACGGCCUCUCCAAGGACUCCCUCCCCCUCACUCCCAACGCCACUGCCUUCGGAACAUGUCCUCUUCUUCGUGGCAUCCAGUUCAAGAAGGGUCAACCGCGAGCUGCAUCGACAUCGAGUCGAGCGUUCCUCUUCUUCGUCGGGCCUGCACCAUCUCGGGGUGCAGCCGUGCAGCACCUGCUGCUGUGGAGGACGGAUGGCGCGGUGCUGGUAGAGCUGCUCCGGGCCUGCCCAGUCGAGCUCAACCACUAAUUGUUCAACCAAGCGCUGCACCACCACUUCCUCUACACUCGCUACCAGUGAGCACCACAACGCAUCUAUCAUCAUCGAGCUCAUCACCUGUGGCUUGGUCUCUUGACUCUUGUAGAUGCCCAGUGUCUGGCGAGGCCGCAGGGGGCGAGCCGAACGAUCCGGAGCAGCGGGCGAAACCGCGGAAGGCGGACCGUUCAGUUCUGCGUACAUUUUUGAAGAUGGAGGUGGAUUAUAAUGCUUUGGUGAUAAUAACACCAACCUUACAGCAAUAUCAUUUAUGAAUAACUACGACAAGGUUUCCUAAAGGUACACAAGUUCACUAAGGUUUGUAAGAUCUUCAAGCUGCUGGGAAUUUGGAAGACCUACAAUUAAGAUGGAGUGAUAAUGUCAUAUGUCUUGUUUGUUGAACCUAGAGAUUUGCUUUGCUCAUUUUGGUGCUUGUUAAGCUCAUUUUGUUUGUGUGGCACACAUCUAGAAACAUAUGUACAUAUGCUAUUGUGGCACUACAUUAUUUUGGUUGUGGCAAACAUAUAUGUACAGCCUCCUUAUAUAUGGUUGUUUUGUUUAUCGAAUGAAGUUUAAGAUUUCGAUGAA